rnacentral:ncRNA from 1 species
UCUGCCUCAUUUUAUUCCAACUGUAAAAAUAGGACUAAAAUAGCAAGUACCUGUCAAAUUGUAAUGCAGUGUCCUAUGGUGAGCUCAACAAGUGCAGAAACUUCCCAUGGAGCAGAAGAGGAAAAGCUUGCUUAUUAUUGAUUUUAAGUAUAAAUACAGACCAUGAAAAUGGGGCCUCACAAUCCUGACUUUUGAGGUUUUAAGAAAGAAGUAUUAUAAAGGUUACCA